AUCAUAUUCAAAAAAAAGAGUUUGAUCCUGGCUCAGAAUGAACGCUAGCGAUAUGCUUAACACAUGCAAGUCGAACGUUGUUUCCAAGUUGAAAUGGAGACAAAGUGGCGAACGGGUGCGUAACACGUAGGAAUCUGCCAAACAGUUUGGGCCAAAUCCUGAAUGAAUGAAAGCUAAAAAGCGCUGUUUGAUGAGCCCACGUAGUAUUAGGUAGUUGGUUAGGUAAAGGCUGACCAAGCCUACGAUGCUUAGCUGGUCUUUUCGGAUGAUCAGCCACACUGGGACGGGAGGCAGCAGUGGGGAAUAUUGGACAAUGGGCGAAAGCCUGAUCCGGCAAUAUGGCGUGAGUGAAGAAGGGCAACGCAGCUUGUAAAGCUCUUUCAUCGAGUGUGCGAUUGUGACAAGACUCGAAUAAGAAGCCCCGGCUAACUUCGUGCCAGCAGCCGCGGUAAUACGAAGGGGGCUAGCGUUGUUCGGAAUGACUGGGCGUAAAGGGCGCGUAGGCGGUGAAUCCGGUUGAGAGUGAAAGUCGCCAGCUCAACUGGCGGAAUGCUUUCAAAACCAAUUCACUUGAGUGAGAUAGAGGAUAGUGGAAUUUCGUGUGUAGAGAUAAAAUUCACAGAUAUACGAAGGAACACCAAAAGCGAAGGCAGCUUUCUGGGUCUCUACUGACGCUGAGGUGCGAAAGCAUGGGGAGCAAACAGGAUUAGAUAGAUCCGGCCGGGCUCCAAAUCACACGGCCAAAGGUGUCCCCUCCGAUCGCGAGGUCAGAGUGUGCAUCCAGCUAUUUCGGGGAAACUUCGAUGAUGCGGAUGUACCAUUCAACAUCAAACAAUCCCGAGGGAAGUGCUUUGAUCUCGGAUCAAGGCACCCCGUAGAGACUAUGAAAAUAAGGAAAUAGGAGAUAUGAAAGAACAUGGGCAAAAGCUCUUGAAGCUAACAGAGCAUCGAAGAUGAGAAAGCAAGGCUUUUAGGCAAAGCUCAAACUCGUAACCUGCACUCGAAAAACCCAAGCAAAUAUCUUUGUCGGAUCUAAUGAAAUCAAUUAUCUUAGGAUAACUCCUGGGAGAUGGCAAGGUUAUCCGUUCGUCCUAGCCAAAUGAAGGAAGAUUACUUUCGGUGGAAAGUAGGCUCAUCACUGCAUAAAAUUUCGGCACCGAGUUCCGUGCAGCAGGGGCAAGCUGCGGAUGGCUUUAGCCAGAACAAGCAACUACUGAUGGCUUCGACAAAGAAUAUGUCAAGUUUUUAGCCAAGGUUUACGAACCUAUCCGAAGAAAUCGCAAGUACGGUAAUUAAACUUACUAGCGCCUCUGGUUCAGUACCGAGGAAUUUAAGAAACUGCUUUGAAUGAUCUUACCACACCCUUCCUGUGGCGAGCAUGAUCAGGAGAGCCUUACUAUUGGUUUACAAAGGUCCCGAAAUUCAACAACGCUGGAUCUCCGAAAUGAACGAAGCUCUGCCUCUUUUUUCGGAGUGCAUUGAACAAUAGUUAGCCAAAGCAACUGCAAAGAUUUAAUUUCAGAGAAUGAUAUAGUCCAUUUUUGAAGAUAGUCAUCACUACGUGAUCGUGAUAGGAUUAUUUAUUUUCCAUCAUGACCUCGAGAAGCAGCUAAGCUACUGAAAAAGGGCUCAAUGCUGGCGAAAAAGUAUCUUCAAUAUGACCCUGGUAGUCUAUGCCGUAAACGAUGAGUGUUCGUCCUUGGUCUGCGCUGUAUGCAAAACGGCGGAUCAGGGGCCCAGCUAACGCGUUAAGCACUCCGCCUGGGGAGUACGGCCGCAAGGCUGAAACUCAAAGGAAUUGACGGGGGCCCGCACAAGCGGUGGAGCAUGUGGUUUAAUUCGAUACAACGCGCAAAACCUUACCAGCCCUUGACAUAUGAAUAAGUUUGCUUGUCCUUAAUGGGAUGGUACGAAAAUUCAUACAGGUGCUGCAUGGCUGUCGUCAGCUCGUGGAGAUGUUGGGUUAAGUCCUAUAACGAGCGCAACCCUCGUUUUGUGUUGCUAAGACAUGCGUUUUGGAUCAAAGGGUCAAUCAUUGAGCACUUCAGACUGACGAAGACCACGCCAUUGGAAAAGGGUACUUCGACGAGCGCAGCUCUCAGAGCGCAGCACACAUAACAAUGUGGCACUCAGUCUUUGUAAAAAUGAUUGACAAUCCAUGCCAUAUACUGCACUCACAAAAAACUGCCGGUGACAAGCCGGAGGAAGGUGGGGAUGACGUCAAGUCCUCAUGGCCCUUAUGUCCUGGGCUACACACGUGCUACAAUGGCAAUUACAAUAGGAAGCAAGGCUUUAAGGCGGAGCGAAUCCAGAAAGAUGGCCUCAGUUCGGAUUGCACUCUGCAACUCGAGUGCAUGAAGGUGGAAUCGCUAGUAAUCGCGGAUCAGCAUGCCGCGGUGAAUACGUUCCCGGGCCUUGUACACACCGCCCGUCACACCAUGGGAAUUGGCUUCGCCCGAAGCAUCAGAUCAAGGAUCACCCAUUACUUCAGUGUUACACGCCGUUGUUGAGCGUGGUGUACCGGAGUAAUUGGUGGUCUAAUGUAGGAUACCAAGGUGGGGCUUUUGACUGGGGUGAAGUCGUAACAAGGUAGCCGUAGGGGAACCUGCGGCUGGAUCACCUCC
rnacentral:rRNA from 1 species